AACGCACAUUGCGCCCCUUGGUAUUCCGGGGGGCAUGCCUGUUCGAGCGUCAUUUCAACCCUCAAGCCUAGCUUGGUCUUGGGCUCUGCCGGCAACGGCUGGCCUUAAAAUCAGUGGCGGUGCCAUCGAGCUCUACGCGUAGUAAUUAAACCCUCGCGUGUGAGUCCCGGUGACUACUUGCCAACAACCCUCAUUUUUUAUGGUUGACCUCGGAUCAGGUAGGGAUACCCGCUGAACUUAA
rnacentral:misc_RNA from 1 species